rnacentral:rRNA from 1 species
UACGUAGGCAGCGAGCGUUGUUCGGAUUCAUUGGGCGUAAAGGGUGCGUAGGCGGCGCGGUAAGUCGGGUGUGAAAUCUUGGAGCUUAACUCCGAAACUGCAUUCGAUACUGCCGUGCUUGAGGACUGGAGAGGAGACUGGAAUUUACGGUGUAGCGGUGAAAUGCGUAGAUAUCGUAAGGAAGACCAGUGGCGAAGGCGGGUCUCUGGA